GGCCGACUAGCUCAGUUGGUUAGAGCGUCGUGCUAAUAUUGUUACUUUGCAGACGUAUUAACGCGAAGGUCUUGGGUUCGAUUCCCACGUUGGCCA